UGAGUGCGAGCUUCUACGGAAGCGAAGUUGGUGACGUCAAGCUUCCAAGAAAAGCCCUAUACCCGUUAAGGCAUGAUUACCUGUACCCGAAACCGACACAGGUGGGGUGGUAGAGAAUACCGAGGGGCGCGAGGUAACUCUCUCUAAGGAACUCGGCAAAAUGACCCCGUAACUUCGGGAGAAGGGGUGCCAGCGCGAGCUGGUCGCAGUGAAUAGGCCCAGGCGACUGUUUACCAAAAACACAGGUCUCCGCUAAGUCGCAAGACGAUGUAUGGGGGCUGACGCCUGCCCAGUGCCGGAAGGUUAAAGAAGUUGGUCAGCGCAAGCGAAGCUAACGACUGAAGCCCCGGUGAACGGCGGCCGUAACGAUAACGGUCCUAAGGUAGCGAAAUUCCUUGUCGGGUAAGUUCCGACCCGCACGAAAGGCGUAACGAUCUGGGCGCUGUCUCGGAGAGAGGCUCGGCGAAAUAGAAUUGUCUGUGAAGAUGCGGACUACGUGCACCCGGACAGAAAGACCCUAUGAAGCUUUACUGUAGCUUGGUAUUGUGCUCGGGCUCGCAAUGCGCAGGAUAGGUGGGAGGCUUUGAUCCAUUGCUUGUGGGUGAUGAUGAUCCACUGGUGAGAUACCACUCUUUGCGAGCUAGGGUUCUAACGGUUACCCGUCAUCCGGGAACCGGACAGUAUCUGGUGGGCAGUUUGACUGGGGCGGUCGCCUCCUAAAAGGUAACGGAGGCGCGCAAAGGUUUGCUCAGGCUGGUUGGAAAUCAGCCGACGAGUGUAAAAGCAGAAGCAAGCUUGACUGUGAGACCUACAAGUCGAACAGGGAGGAAACUCGGCUUUAGUGAUCCGACGGUUCUGAGUGGAAGGGCCGUCGCUCAACGGAUAAAAGUUACUCUAGGAUAACAGGCUGAUCUCCCCCAAGAGUUCACAUCGACGGGGAGGUUUGGCACCUCGAUGUCGGCUCAUCGCAACCUGGGGCUGAAGUCGGUCCCAAGGGUUGGGCUGUUCGCCCAUUAAAGCGGUACGCGAGCUGGGUUCAGAACGUCGUGAGACAGUUCGGUCCAUAUCCGGUGCAUGCGCAGGAAUAUUGAGAGGAUUUCUCCCUAGUACGAGAGGACCGGGAGGAACGCACCUCUGGUGUACCAGUUAUCGUGCCAACGGUAAACGCUGGGUAGCCAUGUGCGGAGUGGAUAACCGCUGAAAGCAUCUAAGUGGGAAGCCCACCUCAAGAUGAGUAUUCCCAUGGCUUAAGCCAGUAAGGUCACGGGAAGAACACCCGUUGAUAGGCUCUAUGUGGAAGCGCAGUAAUGCGUGAAGCAGAGGAGUACUAAUAGACCGAGGGCUUGACC
rnacentral:rRNA from 1 species